rnacentral:rRNA from 1 species
UACGUAGGGUGCAAGCGUUGUCCGGAAUUAUUGGGCGUAAAGAGCUCGUAGGCGGUUUGUUGCGUCGGCUGUGAAAUCCCGAGGCUCAACCUCGGGUCUGCAGUCGAUACGAGCAAACUAGAGUGUUGCAGGGGAGACUGGAAUUCCUGGUGUAGCGGUGAAAUGACGCAGAGUAUCAGGAGGAACACCGGUGGCGAAGGCGGGUCUCUGGACAGUUCCUGACGCUGAAGCACGAAGGCCAGGGAGCAAACGGG